GACGAACGCUGGCGGCGUGCUUAACACAUGCAAGUCGAACGGAAAGGCCCCUUCGGGGGUACUCGAGUGGCGAACGGGUGAGUAACACGUGAGUAACCUGCCCUGACUUCGGGAUAACUUCAGGAAACUGGGGCUAAUACCGGAUAGGAAUCCUUGCUGCAUGGUGGGGGUUGGAAAGCUUCGGCGGUUUUGGAUGGACUCGCGGCUUAUCAGCUUGUUGGUGGGGUAGUGGCUUACCAAGGCUUUGACGGGUAGCCGGCCUGAGAGGGCGACCGGCCACAUUGGGACUGAGAUACGGCCCAGACUCCUACGGGAGGCAGCAGUGGGGAAUAUUGCACAAUGGGCGGAAGCCUGAUGCAGCAACGCCGCGUGCGGGAUGACGGCCUUCGGGUUGGAAACCGCUUUCAGCAGGGGCGAAGCUUGUGGUGACGGUACCUGCAGAAGAAGCACCGGCUAACUACGUG
rnacentral:rRNA from 1 species